UGGGGAAUUUUGGACAAUGGGCGAAAGCCUGAUCCAGCAAUGCCGCGUGUGUGAAGAAGGCCUUCGGGUUGUAAAGCACUUUUGUCCGGAAAGAAAUCCUUGGCUCUAAUACAGUCGGGGGAUGACGGUACCGGAAGAAUAAGCACCGGCUAACUACGUGCCAGCAGCCGCGGUAAUACGUAGGGUGCAAGCGUUAAUCGGAAUUACUGGGCGUAAAGCGUGCGCAGGCGGUUUGCUAAGACCGAUGUGAAAUCCCCGGGCUCAACCUGGGAACUGCAUUGGUGACUGGCAGGCUAGAGUAUGGCAGAGGGGGGUAGAAUUCCACGUGUAGCAGUGAAAUGCGUAGAGAUGUGGAGGAAUACCGAUGGCGAAGGCAGCCCCCUGGGCCAAUACUGACGCUCAUGCACGAAAGCGUGGGGAGCAAACAGGAUUAGAUACCCUGGUAGUCCACGCCCUAAACGAUGUCGACUAGUUGUUGGGGAUUCAUUUCCUUAGUACGUAGCUAACGCGUGAAGUUGACCGCCUGGGGAGUACGGUCGCAAGAUUAAAACUUAAAUGAAUUGACGGGGUCAUAGCUG
rnacentral:rRNA from 1 species